rnacentral:other from 1 species
UGAUUCCUGCUGUGUUCGAGUAAAUGCGGCCCAUUAUAAUCCAACACUUAUUUAAAAGGAAGCUCUGAUAUACUCCCGGACGGAUUGCAGACCUCCCGGCCUAGCCGGACGAAGGGAGCGUGAACACCUGGGGAGGGCAUCCACCUGUCAUUGACGGGUUUUAAGCAGCCGCGUGACGGCAUGGCGGGAAUCUC